GAUCAUGGCUCAGGAUGAACGCUAGCUACAGGCUUAACACAUGCAAGUCGAGGGGAAACGACAUCGAAAGCUUGCUUUUGAUGGGCGUCGACCGGCGCACGGGUGAGUAACGCGUAUCCAACCUGCCCAUCACUUGGGAAUAACCUCGCGAAAGUAAGACUAAUACCCAAUGAUAUCUCUAGAAGACAUCUGAAAGAGAUUAAAGAUUCAUCGGUGAUGGAUGGGGAUGCG
rnacentral:rRNA from 1 species